rnacentral:rRNA from 1 species
UACGUAGGGGGCGAGCGUUGUCCGGAUUUAUUGGGCGUAAAGAGCUCGUAGGCGGCUGUUCGAGUCGGGUGUGAAAUCCUGAGGCUUAACCUUGGGUCUGCAUUCGAUACUGGGCGGCUUGAGUCUGGUAGGGGGAUCUGGAAUUCCUGGUGUAGCGGUGGAAUGCGCAGAUAUCAGGAGGAACACCGGUGGCGAAGCGGGAUCCUGGGCCAGUACUGACGCUGAGGCGCGAAAAGCUAGGGGGGGAGCAAACGGG